GGCCCCGGCUGGCCGGCCCCCUCCGCCAGGGACUGUCCUGACGCCCAGCUCGCUGCCCGGCGGGAGGGGCCCGGGAGCUGGGGCUGCUCGGCCCCCGCCGCGCUGCGGAUCCCGCCCUGUCCGCUCCAGGGGGCGCGGGGCCUGCGCUGCCGCGUGUUUAUCCGACCCCCGACCGUCCCCGCCGCGCGCCUACAACUCGUGUUUAAAGCGGCCGAACGCUGUCCCGCCACAGGGCCUUGUGCAGCGACGCGUCCUGUGCGCGUGGUUGGCUGUUUGAUUGCGGAGUCGGCACAGACACCCGGCAAUCCGGCGUAGCCGAGCCAAUGCCAAGUGUAUAGAACCUGAGAGCAGAAGGAACCGACACAGGAGGUUUAAAAAUCCCACGGAAAUCUGACAGCAGCAUAACAAUUCAUCAAUGUACUGGAGGCUCUAAAUGACAGUCACUGCAGAGACAAAGGGAGCUGAAAGAACCAGCAAAGGUGGUGGACGCCUUCAGCCUCCCUGCUUAUAGCAUCCCCUGCAGGGCAAGAGGAAGAAGUUGAGGCAUAACAGCAAAAGCACUUGAGAAGCUGCCUUGCAGUGAGG